rnacentral:rRNA from 1 species
GACGAACGCUGGCGGCGUGCCUAAUACAUGCAAGUAGAACGCACAGUUUAUACCGUAGCUUGCUACACCAUAGACUGUGAGUUGCGAACGGGUGAGUAACGCGUAGGUAACCUGCCUGGUAGCGGGGGAUAACUAUUGGAAACGAUAGCUAAUACCGCAUAAUAUUAAUUAUUGCAUGAUAAUUAAUUGAAAGGUGCAAUUGCACCACUACCAGAUGGACCUGCGUUGUAUUAGCUAGUAGGUGAGGUAACGGCUCACCUAGGCGACGAUACAUAGCCGACCUGAGAGGGUGAUCGGCCACACUGGGAAUGAGACACGGCCCAGACUCCUACGGGAGGCAGCAGUAGGGAAUCUUCGGCAAUAGACGAAAGUCUGACCGAGCAACGCCGCGGGAGUGAAGAAGGUUGUCGGAUCGUAAAGCUCUGUUGUAAGAGAAGAACGGGUGUGAGAGUGGAAAGUUCACACUGUGACGGUAUCUUACCAGAAAGGGACGGCUAACUACGUG